GAGAGAGAGAGAGAGGAGAGAGAGAGAGAGAGAGAGAGAGAGCUAGACAGCUCCCACGCUGUAGUGGGAGGGGAUUCAAGGGAGGAAUCCGCACAGAGCUGCUGGAACUCUAGCUUUGGAAAACAUAUCAUGCAGUGUUCUUCUGAUGUCAGCUUUCUCGGUGCCAGGACAGAGGAUGGGGGAAUAGAUGCAAAAUGUGUAUGACACUGAAGGGUCCAGCCUCUAGCUAGGUAUGAUUGAUGCCUGGGAAUUAAGCAGAAGAAGACCAAAGGACACAGAUCAAGGGGAAAUAAUCAGCAACCUUGAAGCUGGAACAUGUCAUAAAAGGGGAGAUUGAAUUCAUGGACUGGCGUUGGAGGCCACUUAGAAGGAUACUGCAGAAAUGUGUGUUUUGCUAUAACCUUUGGUGUUAUACAGAAUUAUAGGCUCUUCCCACCCCUUUCUAAUUUUCUUAUCCCAAAUUUUCUCAACUCAAGAUGGUUUCAAGUGGUCACUAUACAUGAGCUCAGAAUAAUUAUAAUAGGGCAUGUGGUGGUCAGGAGAGAAAAAUGACUGAGUGACUGUGGGAAUUGACAAAUAUUUAUUUUCGUUUGUGAUAUUGUAACUUGCUGUAUUACAGGUUCAAAAUCAUUUCUCAAAGAGUAAUUCUUGUUCUGAAUUUGCAGGAAUUUUUAAUGCUUCAUUUUACUAAAAAGUAUAAUAUUUAAUAGGCAUUUAGAAUUUAUUUAUUGUCUAUGAUAUCCCUGGCAUUUAUUUCAGAGCUAAAGUUAUAAAAAAGGCAGUCAGCUAAACUUUUAUCAAAAUUUAGUUGUCAGUCUCCUAUGACGGAACCGUAUGGAGUUAUCCUGUCUAUAAUGGUAGCCACUUAUUCCAUAUGGUUAAUGAGCACUUGAAAUGUGGCUAGUGAAUUGAGGUAUAUUGUGAAUAUAGAUUACACACUGAAAUUUGAAGAAUUAGUAUGGAAAAAUGUAAAUUUUUGUUAUUAAUUUUUGUAGUGAUUACUUGUUGAAAUAUUUAUUUAU